rnacentral:rRNA from 1 species
GACGAACGCUGGCGGUGUGCUUAACACAUGCAAGUCGAACGGCAAGGCCCUUUCGGGGGUACCCGAGUGGCGAACGGGGGCGUAACACGGGAGUAACCUGCCCUCAUUUCUGGGAUAACAGUCGGAAACGGUGGCUAAUACCGGAAAUGAGCCUGCAAGGCAUCUUGUGGGAUGGAAAGAUCUUUUGUGGUUGGGGAUGGACUCGCGGCCUAUCAGCUUGUUGUUGGGGUAGUGGCUCACCAAGGCUUCGACGGGUAGCCGGCCCGCGAGGGCGACCGGCCACAUUGGACCUCAGAUACAGCCCACACUCCUGCGUGUGGCAGCAGUGGGGCAUAUUGCACCAUGGACGGAAGUCUGAUGCAGCAACGCCGCGUGCGGGAUGACGGCCUUCGUGUUGUAAACCGCUUUCCAUUGUGACGAAGCGUUUUUGUGACGGUAGCAGUAGAAGAAGCACCGGCUAACUACGUG